rnacentral:rRNA from 1 species
CCUACGGGGGGCAGCAGUGGGGAAUAUUGGACAAUGGGCGCAAGCCUGAUCCAGCAAUGCCGCGUGUGUGAAGAAGGCCUUAGGGUUGUAAAGCACUUUCAGCAAUGAAGAAGUUGUAUUGGCUAAUAUCCAAUAUAAUUGACGUUAGUUGCAGAAGAAGUACUGGCUAACUCUGUGCCAGCAGCCGCGGUAAUACAGAGAGUGCAAGCGUUAAGCGGAAUGAUUGGGCGUAGUUAGUGAAUAUGUUGUUGAAAUCCCUGGGCUUAACCUAGGAAUUGCAGUUAAUACUUUUUAUCUAGAGUAUUGUAGGGGGAAGUGGAAUUUCCGGUGUAGCGGUGAAAUGCGUAGAUAUCGGAAGGAACACCAGUGGCGAAGGCGACUUCCUGGACAAAUACUGACACUGAGACACGAAAGCGUGGGGAGCAAACAGGAUUAGAUACCCUGGUAGUC